rnacentral:rRNA from 1 species
GAUUGAACGCUGGCGGCAGGCCUAACACAUGCAAGUCGAACGGUAACAUUUCUAGCUUGCUAGAAGAUGACGAGUGGCGGACGGGUGAGUAAUGCUUGGGAACUUGCCUUUGCGAGGGGGAUAACAGUUGGAAACGACUGCUAAUACCGCAUAAUGUCUUCGGACCAAACGGGGCUUCGGCUCCGGCGCAAAGAGAGGCCCAAGUGAGAUUAGCUAGUUGGUAAGGUAACGGCUUACCAAGGCGACGAUCUCUAGCUGUUCUGAGAGGAAGAUCAGCCACACUGGGACUGAGACACGGCCCAGACUCCUACGGGAGGCAGCNNNGGGGAAUAUUGCACAAUGGGGGAAACCCUGAUGCAGCCAUGCCGCGUGUGUGAAGAAGGCCUUCGGGUUGUAAAGCACUUUCAGUUGUGAGGAAAAGUU